rnacentral:rRNA from 1 species
UGUCGAUUUAUUGGGCGUCGAGCGCAGGCGGAAUGAUAAGUCUGAUGUGAAAGCCCACGGCUAACCGUGGAACUGCAUCGGAAACUGUCAUUCUUGAGUGCAGAAGAGGAGAGUGGAACUCCAUGUGUAGCGGUGGAAUGCGUAGAUAUAUGGAAGAACACCAGUGGCGAAGGCGGCUCUCUGGUCUGCAACUGACGCUGAGGCUCGAAAGCAUGGGUAGCGAACAGGAUUAGAUACCCUGGUAGUCCAUGCCGUAAACGAUGAGCGCUAGGUGUUGGGGACUUUCCGGUCCUCAGUGCCGCAGCAAACGCAUUAAGCGCUCCGCCUGGGGAGUACGACCGCAAGGUUGAAACUCAAAGGAAUUGACGGGGGCCCGCACAAGCGGUGGAGCAUGUGGUUUAAUUCGAAGCAACGCGAAGAACCUUACCAGGUCUUGACAUCCUGCGCUACACCUAGAGAUAGGUGGUUCCCUUCGGGGACGCAGAGACAGGUGGUGCAUGGCUGUCGUCAGCUCGUGUCGUGAGAUGUUGGGUUAAGUCCCGCAACGAGCGCAACCCUUGUCUUUAGUUGCCAUCAUUAAGUUGGGCACUCUAAAGAGACUGCCGGUGACAAACCGGAGGAAGGUGGGGAUGACGUCAAGUCAUCAUGCCCCUUAUGACCUGGGCUACACACGUGCUACAAUGGGCAGUACAACGAGAAGCGAACCCGCGAGGGUAAGCGGAUCUCUUAAAGCUGCUCUCAGUUCGGACUGCAGGCUGCAACUCGCCUGCACGAAGCUGGAAUCGCUAGUAAUCGCGGAUCAGCACGCCGCGGUGAAUACGUUCCCGGGCCUUGUACACACCGCCCGUCACACCAUGGAAGUCUGCAAUGCCCAAAGUCGGUGAGAUACCUUUAUAGGAGUCAGCCGCCUAAGGCAGGGCAAUGACUGGGGUGAAUCGUACGGGC